rnacentral:rRNA from 1 species
AGCAGCCGCGGUAAUUCCAGCUCCAAUAGCGUAUAUUAAAGUUGUUGCAGUUAAAAAGCUCGUAGUUGAAUUUCGGGAUUUGUCAGUUAGUUGGUCGGGCUUUACUGUCCGUACUGACUUGAUGAAUUCUUACCUUCUGAAUAACCAAACUCAAUCACUGAGUUGGGGAAACAGAUCUAUUACCUUGAAAAAUUAGAGUGCUUAAAGCAGGCUAGUGCUUGAAUAGAUUAGCAUGGAAUAAUAAAAUAGGACGGCAUGGUUCUAUUUUGUUGGUUUCUAGGAUCACCGUAAUGAUUAAUAGGGAUAGUUGGGGGCAUUAGUAUUCAAUUGUCAGAGGUGAAAUUCUUGGAUUUAUUGAAGGCUAACUACUGCGAAAGCAUUUGCCAAGGAUGUUUUCAUUAAUCAAGAACGAAAGUUAGGGGAUCGAAGACGAUCAGAUACCGUCGUAGUCUUAACCAUAAACUAUGCCGACUAGGGAUCGGAUGAUGUUAAUUUUUAAUGACUCAUUCGGCGCCUUAAC